AUAAAGGCCCCGAGAAAAAAAUUUGCGAUUCAUUUCCUCAUUUAGAUCGGAUCAGAAAAGUUUUGAAAAGUUGCACAGCUUAAACACAGUUGUCUUAUAAUUUAGUCUGCCCAACUGUGGACCGAUCACAAUGGAUUUCGGUGAUUUUGGAGCCUCAGGAUCUGGAAUUAAACUUCCUGAACGGACGUCACAGUCCAAAUAGCCGAAAUAAAAAGCCCCACUGCAAUUAUCUUAUGGGAUGGUGCGCGCAAAAUUGAUGCUUCUGUCAAAAAUUCUGGCAACGCGUUCAGCGGAAGCUCUAUGCAAUUUGCAACCAUUACAUUAACCGAGUUCAAAGUUUUCGGCCGAGAAAAAAUUAUCAUAAGCGGCUACGAGGUCGUGGCAACAGGUUCCGACAACGGAAACUCCCUUCUUACUGCAGGUCUACCUGCAAUUCCAAACGGUUUAGCAGGAAUGGCGUCAGGAAGGAACAAAACUGUCUGUGGUGUUGUAUCUUCUGUGGAUAAAACCUACAACAGCCCUGACGAUACUGACGGAGAAAAGAAAUUUCGAAGAAUCUUGCUUGCGGACCAUACUGGCAGCCUUAACGUUACCGCUUGGCGCGAGAACGUCGAGAAAUUUGACAACAUUCAUGUUGGACAAUUCGUUCAGAUAACGCAUGUUAACGCGGAAAACAACGAAAAGUACAGGAAUGCGGCAUCUCUUAAGCUCGGAAUCACUUUAACACCAUCAACAACAAUUAUUCCUGUGAACGAACCUCUUCCAAUUGGACAAAUUACAGACAUCAAAACGGCAAAACAUUUUAAUGACCCAGCGCGAAAAUUCGAUAAAUUUUUAGAUUACUUUGGAAAAUUUUUUUCAGUGACGUGUUUUUUAGACCUACUGGCUGUCGUUGAAGGUGUAAAACACGCUAAGACAUUUCAAGUGCUUCGCGAAAGGUGAAGGUCUUGGAUCCUUCAAUCGACCCAGCAUCUGAAACAAUUGUGCUCCGAGGAAAUGUGGCGGGGAAAUUUUCCCUUGAGCACAGAUACAAGUUAGUCUGCUUCUGCAAGUUGCAUAUUUCGGAGGGAACAAUCACCGGCAGUGAUGGAGAGCGCUAUUACUUUACUGCCAUGCAACAAAACAGAGCUACAAGCCGCCGGAUCUGCUUGGCCAAAGAUAAUGGAUACAUUGACGACACUGCUGUCACACAAGCUUUGGCCGAGUCUCCGACCCAGGACCAAGGCAAGCGACCAGCAUCGCCAACGGGAACGAGUGAAAGUAGCGCCAAAAAACAUGAAACUUAGGAACAGUUCCCUCAAGUUUCGUCAAGGAAUAAGUGUUACAUAAAAAAUAAUUUUUAUUUGUUUGUGCCUGUAUCAUAACAGCUCAGCCAGCUCUUUGUUUCAAAAUCUGCCGCGCGCUCAUUUUAAAAUUCGCCUGAAUUUAA